rnacentral:rRNA from 1 species
UACGGGGGGGGCAAGCGUUGUUCGGAAUUACUGGGCGUAAAGGGCUCGUAGGCGGCCAACUAAGUCGGACGUGAAAUCCCCAGGCUCAACCUGGGAACUGCGUCCGAUACUGGAUGGCUUGAAUUCGGGAGAGGGAUGCAGAAUUCCAGGUGUAGCGGUGAAAUGCGUAGAUAUCUGGAGGAAUACCGGUGGCGAAGGCAGCAUCCUGGACCGACAUUGACGCUGAUGAGCGAAAGCUAGGGGAGCAAACGGG